UCUCUACUCCCUGGUUCAUGAGUUUAAACAAAUAUCAUCUCUGAUUUUAAAAAUUAAACUUAGAAUUAAAAUGAACCUUAGCUGAAAACAUGCUCCUUAUGGUUGGUAUACAUGAUCUAUAUUCCUUGCUUGCACUUGUUUGCUUGUGAACCUAUAUUUUUAGGAAAGCAUGCUACCUAGGUUGUUGAUGUUUGAGAUAUGGCAUGAUAAAAUGAACCUUACUCUUUUCUCUCCAAAGUAUUUGGGAAAUUUAUCUUGAAAAAUAAUGACCUAUCUAGCUCCUCAAUGAUAUGCCUCCAUCCUACCAGAGCCAUAUGAUGAUCAUAUUGAAAAUCCCACACACAUAUGCUGCUUGCUAUCAUGUUGAGCUUUGCCAGAUUGUUGUGACCCUUGUGGAAUAUGCUUCAUACUUUCAUGAUCAAGAUCACGUACACUCCACUUCCA
rnacentral:lncRNA from 1 species